rnacentral:rRNA from 1 species
GACGAACGCUGGCGGCGCGCCUAACACAUGCAAGUCGAGCGAAGUGGCGGACGGGUGAGUAACAGGUGAGUAACCUAACUUUGACACAGGGAUAGCCUCGGGAAACCGGGAUUAAUACCAGAUGGUGAAAGAUGGACUCGCCACUGAUUAGAGCGGUGGUGAGUUAACAGCCAACCAAGGCAACGAUCAGUAGCCGGCAUGAAGAGGUGAACGGCCACAUUGGGACUGAGAGACGGUCCAAUCUCUGACGGGUGGCAGCAGGGGGGAAUAUUGCACAAUGGGGGGAUUCCUGAUGCAGCGACGCCGCUGGGGUGAAGAAGUUAUUCGUAUCGUAAAGCUCUGUCCUAUGGGAAGCGGUACCAUAGGAGGAAGCUCCGGCUAACUACGUGCCAGCAGCCGCGGUAAUAC